ensembl:ncRNA T13H10.7 ncRNA
UUUAUCUUCUCCAAACUAAUUUUUCACGUUGUCUUUGUGUUGUUUCAACCUUCCGAACUCUCAUUAAUUUUCUCAAUGGCGCCUGACCGUCGUUUUGGCGCCACGGCUUUCAAUUCACUUCCAUAUUUCUGCUUCAAUGAUCUUUUCU